GCCAAACAGCUAGCUUAACCACCAAAAUUAACACCACAAUAUUCUUAGUUUUUUAACUCCACCACAAGUAAUUAAACCAUUCUUCUGCCUUAGUAUGGGCGACAGAAAAGGCACUAAAAGCAAUAGAGAUAGUACCGCAAGGGAAUGCUGAAAGAGAAAUGAAACAACCCAUUUAAGCCUAAAAAAGCAGAGAUAUAACCUCGUACCUUUUGCAUCAUGAUUUAGCCAGAACUAUAAAGCAAAGAGAGACUUUAGUUUUUGACCCCGAAACCAAGUGAGCUACCCCGAGACAGCCUAUUAUAGGGCCAACCCGUCUCUGUGGCAAAAGAGUGGGAAGAUCUCCGGGUAGCGGUGAUAGACCUAUCGAACUAGGUGAUAGCUGGUUGCCUAAGAAAUGGAUAUAAGUUCAGCCUCGCAUUCCUCCACCCACACAAGCGCCUCCGCCCUUAUGGAUAAGAGAAAACUACGAGAGUUAGUCAAAGGGGGUACAGCCCCUUUGAACCAGGACACAACCUGACCCAGGAGGUUAUGAGUCAUACCCAACAAGAUAUACCGCUUUAGUGGGCUUAGAAGCAGCCAUCUAAUUAGAAAGCGUUAAAGCUCAGGCGGACCCAAAAUCUAUUAUCCUGACAUAUGAUCCCUAAACCCCUACUUAUAUUAGGCCGUUCCAUGCUUACAUGGAAGAGAUACUGCUAAAAUGAGUAACAAGAAGGAAAACCCUUCUCCUUUGCCCACGUUUAAGCUAGAUCGGACCCACCACUAAUAAUUAACGAACCCAACCAAAGAGGGAAAAGUGGUUACAUAAUAAAAUCAAGAAAAUCCCACAUAAACCUAUCGUUAACCCCACACCGGAGGGCUACAAGGAAAGAUUAAAAGAGAGGGAAGGAACUCGGCAAAUACAAGCCUCGCCUGUUUACCAAAAACAUCGCCUCUUGCAAAAAUCAAUGUAUAAGAGGUCCUGCCUGCCCAGUGAAUAAGUUUAAACGGCCGCGGUAUUUUGACCGUGCAAAGGUAGCGCAAUCACUUGUUUUUUAAAUAAAAACCUGUAUGAAUGGUGAAACGAGGGCUUAACUGUCUCCCCCCUCUGAUCAGUGAAAUUGAUCUACCCGUGCAGAAGCGGGUAUAAGGAUACAAGACGAGAAGACCCUAUGGAGCUUUAGACACAAAAUCAACUGUGUUAAAACCCCUAGUUAAAGGGACUUAACAAGACAACAACUGAUUUAUGUCUUCGGUUGGGGCGACCACGGGGAAAAAUAGAUCCCCCAUGAGAAGCGGAAAAUUUUCCUAAAACUACGAGGUACACCUCUAAGUCACAGAACUUCUGACCAAAAGAUCCGGCAUAGCCGAUCAACGAACCAAGUUACCCUAGGGAUAACAGCGCAAUCCCCUCCAAGAGUCCAUAUCGACAAGGGGGUUUACGACCUCGAUGUUGGAUCAGGACAUCCUAAUGGUGCAGCCGCUAUUAAGGGUUCGUUUGUUCAACGAUUAAAGUCCUACGUGAUCUGAGUUCAGACCGGAGUAAUCCAGGUCAGUUUCUAUCUGUAAAACUAUCUCCUCUAGUACGAAAGGACCGAGGACAUAAGGCCCCCACUUUAAACACGCCUUACUUCUACUUAAUGAAACCAACUUAAUUAAGUAAAGAAGAGUAUAAAAUACCCAAAGAUAGUUUGGG
rnacentral:rRNA from 1 species